CCCAAGCGGCUCAAGCGGUACGGC
rnacentral:siRNA from 1 species